rnacentral:rRNA from 1 species
UUCCGUAGGGUGAACCUGCGGAGGGAUCAUUACAGAGUUACUACUCCAAACCCAUUGUGAACCUUACCUAUGUUCUGUUGCCUCGGCGGCGUGGUCAGCGCCCCCUCUGAAAAGAGGACGAUGCCCUCCCGCCGGCAGCACCAAACUCUUUGAAUUUUACAGCGGAUUACAGUUCUGAUUUGAAAACAAAAAACAAGUUAAAACUUUCAACAACGGAUCUCUUGGUUCUGGCAUCGAUGAAGAACGCAGCGAAAUGCGAUAAGUAAUGUGAAUUGCAGAAUUCAGUGAAUCAUCGAAUCUUUGAACGCACAUUGCGCCCGGCAGUAAUCUGCCGGGCAUGCCUGUCCGAGCGUCAUUUCAACCCUCGAACCUCCGUUUCCUCAGGGAAGCUCAGGGUCGGUGUUGGGGCGCUACGGCGAGUCUUCGCGACCCUCCGUAGGCCCUGAAAUACAGUGGCGGUCCCGCCGCGGUUGCCUUCUGCGUAGUAAGUCUCUUUUGCAAGCUCGCAUUGGGUCCCGGCGGAGGCCUGCCGUCAAACCACCUAUAACUCCAGAUGGUUUGACCUCGGAUCAGGUAGGUA